UCAAAGGCAAACUGGUGUUUGUAGAAUUUGAAAAUUAAGAACAGGUAGGUUGCUAAGUAAUUGAAGUGUUUACUUAGAACUGCAGCCAUAAUGUUUUACUGUUUUGAACUAGGAAAAAUGAUGUUAAAAUGCACAUUUAAAUUCAUGAUGUAUAGAACUCAUGAAUGAGAUUUCUUCGCUCAUUAGACACUAUAGAUACUGAAUGAUUUUUUGUUGUUGUUGUUUUUGAGAUGGAGUCUUGUUCUGUCACCCAGGCUGGAAUACAGUGGCACGAUCUCGGCUCACUGCAAGCUCUACCUCCCAGGUUCAAGUGAUUCUCCUGCCUCAGCCUCCCGAGUAGCUGGGACUACAGGUGCAUGCCACCACACCCAGGAGACCAGGUCUCAUUCUGUUCCUCAGGCUGGAGUGCAGUGACACAGAAUUCACUGUAAGCUUGAACUCCUGAGCUCAAGUGAUCCUCUUUCCUUUGUCUCUCGAGUAGCUGUGACUACAGGUGCAUGCCACCAUGCCUCAGCCUCUCAACGCACUGGGAUUAAAGAUUCAGAAAAAGGAAGAAUUCUGGACUUGCUUUUCAUGUCGUCUCCACGAAGACGUUAAGAAGAGCUGCUCUGCACCCAUCCUGUUUGUAAAAACAGCCUUCCCUGAGGAACCCCACACCAUUAUUGUUCUCCCCGUUCCUGUUGGUAAUUGAUUCAGGAAGCUUUCUUGAAGAAUGGGGGUUUCUACUUCAUUAUCACUACUGCUGAAUAUGUUACACAGGGAUGGUAAAAAAUUUUAAUGCAACAAAAUGAAUAGCAAUACAACUAUAAUGAAUAUAAUUUAGGCCUUCAGGGUACAGAAUUUGCAGUGCUGCAAACGUUCAUUUUGAACAUCAAUGAUAAUUACAUUGUAGCUAUAAAAAUAUAGAAAAUGGACUGAAAUGA